GAAUGGCUCAGUGAGGCGUUCGGACUGGCCCAGGGAGGUCGGCAACGACCACCCAGGGCCGGAAAGUUCGUCAAACUUGGUCAUUUAGAGGAAGUAAAAGUCGUAACAAGGUCUCCGUAGGUGAACCUGCGGAGGGAUCAUU
rnacentral:rRNA from 2 species